GCAAUUAUACCGUGAAACUGCGAAUGGCUCAUUAAAUCAGUUAUCGUUUAUUUGAUAGUACCUUACCACUUGGAUAACCGUGGUAAUUCUAGAGCUAAUACAUGCUAAAAACCCCGACUUCGGAAGGGGUGUGUUUAUUAGAUAAAAAACCAAUGCCCUUCGGGGCUCUUUGGUGAUUCAUGAUAACCUAACGGAUCGCAUGGCCUUGCGCCGGCGACGGUUCAUUCAAAUUUCUGCCCUAUCAACUUUCGAUGGUAAGGUAUUGGCUUACCAUGGUUUCAACGGGUAACGGGGAAUUAGGGUUCGAUUCCGGAGAGGGAGCCUGAGAAACGGCUACCACAUCCAAGGAAGGCAGCAGGCGCGCAAAUUACCCAAUCCCGACACGGGGAGGUAGUGACAAUAAAUACUGAUACAGGGCUCUUUUGGGUCUUGUAAUUGGAAUGAGUACAAUUUAAACCCCUUAACGAGGAACAAUUGGAGGGCAAGUCUGGUGCCAGCAGCCGCGGUAAUUCCAGCUCCAAUAGCGUAUAUUAAAGUUGUUGCAGUUAAAAAGCUCGUAGUUGAAACUUGGGUCUGGCUAGCGGGUCCGCCUCACCGCGUGCACUUGUCCGGCUGGACCUUUCCUUCUGGAGAACCUCAUGCCCUUCACUGGGUGUGUUGGGGAACCAGGACUUUUACUUUGAAAAAAUUAGAGUGUUCAAAGCAGGCCUUUGCUCGAAUACGUUAGCAUGGAAUAAUAGAAUAGGACGUGCGGUCCUAUUUUGUUGGUUUCUAGGAUCGCCGUAAUGAUUAAUAGGGAUAGUCGGGGGCAUCAGUAUUCAAUUGUCAGAGGUGAAAUUCUUGGAUUUAUUGAAGACUAACUACUGCGAAAGCAUUUGCCAAGGAUGUUUUCAUUAAUCAGUGAACGAAAGUUAGGGGAUCGAAGACGAUCAGAUACCGUCGUAGUCUUAACCGUAAACUAUGCCGACUAGGGAUCGGGCGAUGUUUCUAUCUUGACUCG
rnacentral:rRNA from 1 species